AGGACGAACGCUGGCGGCGUGCUUAACACAUGCAAGUCGAGCGGUGAUCCUCCUUCGGGAGGUGAUCAGCGGCGAACGGGUGAGUAACACGUGGGCAACCUGCCCCUCACACUGGGAUAACCUCGGGAAACCGGGCUAAUACCGGAUACGACCUCGAGCGGCACCUCUUGAGGUGGAAAGCUCCGACGGUGAGGGAUGGGCCCGCGGCCUAUCAGCUUGUUGGUGGGGUAAUGGCCUACCAAGGCGACGACGGGUA
rnacentral:rRNA from 1 species